rnacentral:rRNA from 1 species
GGUCAAGUGAAGAAGCGCAUACGGUGGAUGCCUUGGCAGUCAGAGGCGAUGAAAGACGUGGUAGCCUGCGAAAAGCUUCGGGGAGUCGGCAAACAGACUUUGAUCCGGAGAUCUCUGAAUGGGGGAACCCACCUAGGAUAACCUAGGUAUCUUGUACUGAAUCCAUAGGUGCAAGAGGCGAACCAGGGGAACUGAAACAUCUAAGUACCCUGAGGAAAAGAAAUCAACCGAGAUUCCCUUAGUAGUGGCGAGCGAACGGGGAUUAGCCCUUAAGCUUCAUUGAUUUUAGCGGAACGCUCUGGAAAGUGCGGCCAUAGUGGGUGAUAGCCCCGUACGCGAAAGGAUCUUUGAAGUGAAAUCGAGUAGGACGGAGCACGAGAAACUUUGUCUGAACAUGGGGGGACCAUCCUCCAAGGCUAAAUACUACUGACUGACCGAUAGUGAACCAGUACCGUGAGGGAAAGGCGAAAAGAACCCCGGAGAGGGGAGUGAAAUAGAACCUGAAACCGUAUGCGUACAAGCAGUGGGAGCCUACUUGUUAGGUGACUGCGUACCUUUUGUAUAAUGGGUCAGCGACUUAUAUUCAGUGGCAAGCUUAACCGUAUAGGGUAGGCGUAGCGAAAGCGAGUCUUAAUAGGGCGUUUAGUCGCUGGGUAUAGACCCGAAACCGGGCGAUCUAUCCAUGAGCAGGUUGAAGGUUAGGUAACACUGACUGGAGGACCGAACCCACUCCCGUUGAAAAGGUAGGGGAUGACUUGUGGAUCGGAGUGAAAGGCUAAUCAAGCUCGGAGAUAGCUGGUUCUCCUCGAAAGCUAUUUAGGUAGCGCCUCAUGUAUCACUCUGGGGGGUAGAGCACUGUUUCGGCUAGGGGGUCAUCCCGACUUACCAAACCGAUGCAAACUCCGAAUACCCAGAAGUGCCGAGCAUGGGAGACACACGGCGGGUGCUAACGUCCGUCGUGAAAAGGGAAACAACCCAGACCGCCAGCUAAGGUCCCAAAGUUGUGGUUAAGUGGUAAACGAUGUGGGAAGGCUUAGACAGCUAGGAGGUUGGCUUAGAAGCAGCCACCCUUUAAAGAAAGCGUAAUAGCUCACUAGUCGAGUCGGCCUGCGCGGAAGAUGUAACGGGGCUCAAACCACACACCGAAGCUGCGGGUGUCACGUAAGUGACGCGGUAGAGGAGCGUUCUGUAAGCCUGUGAAGGUGAGUUGAGAAGCUUGCUGGAGGUAUCAGAAGUGCGAAUGCUGACAUGAGUAACGACAAUGGGUGUGAAAAACACCCACGCCGAAAGACCAAGGGUUCCUGCGCAACGUUAAUCGACGCAGGGUUAGUCGGUUCCUAAGGCGAGGCUGAAAAGCGUAGUCGAUGGGAAACAGGUUAAUAUUCCUGUACUUCUGGUUACUGCGAUGGAGGGACGGAGAAGGCUAGGCCAGCUUGGCGUUGGUUGUCCAAGUUUAAGGUGGUAGGCUGAAAUCUUAGGUAAAUCCGGGGUUUCAAGGCCGAGAGCUGAUGACGAGUCGUCUUUUAGAUGACGAAGUGGUUGAUGCCAUGCUUCCAAGAAAAGCUUCUAAGCUUCAGGUAACCAGGAACCGUACCCCAAACCGACACAGGUGGUCGGGUAGAGAAUACCAAGGCGCUUGAGAGAACUCGGGUGAAGGAACUAGGCAAAAUGGCACCGU